rnacentral:sRNA from 1 species
AUGUGUGGGGCGUGUGUGGAAUAACGUUAUUGCCCGGCGGAGCUGAGGGCCCCGGAGCUCGACCGCAGCGGCGGCGACGACGACGACGACGAGGUGGGGGGAGGACGGCGUGCGAGAGACUCACGGGACGCGACGCGCCCCGCCUCCCCCGUCCGGUCCCUCUCUCCACGGUAAGGGGAUGACGUAGCUUUGCCAAAGACUUAGAAGCUAAGCAGAAAAUGAGCUUAACAUCCUGGUUUUUGGUGAGCAGUGGAGGCACUCGCCACAGGCUGCCACGAGAAAUGAUUUUUGUUGGAAGAGAUGACUGUGAGCUCAUGUUGCAGUCUCGUAGUGUGGAUAAGCAACAUGCUGUCAUCAACUAUGAUGCGUCUACAGAUGAGCAUUUAGUGAAGGAUUUGGGCAGCCUCAAUGGGACUUUUGUGAAUGAUGUAAGGAUUCCGGAACAGACUUAUAUCACCUUGAAACUUGAAGAUAAGCUGAGAUUUGGAUAUGAUAUCCUUAAAUGGUUUUAUGUACUUAUUAAAUUUAUUCAAAUAUGUUUACUCUGGUGUAAAUUAACAUUUUUAAAACAAUUCACAAUAUAGAUAUCCCAGAAUUUCUAUUUAUUGGGUGCAUUCCUAUACUAAAAUACAUAUAUAUUUUUAGUUAUUAUGCCUGUUCCUAAAAAUAAUCAUGGAAAAGUUGGUGGACUCAGCUUUUUUUUUUCCUCUCUAUUUGUAUAGUUUCAGCAUCAGUCUCACUGAAGUGCUAUUGCAUAUAUAAUUUGAGCAUCAAAGAAUGUAACUGGGGAGAGGACAGGGGAAUGUUUAAUUUUAGUCCAGCCUAGGGAUUGCUUUCAGGUGGAACAUGAUGCAUGAAUCAGCCUCCUGGGAUGAAUGUAAGAAUUUAAACCUACUUUUCCUUCCAUCCCUCCAGUUAACUGUUUUAUGCAUCAAAGCUAUACUGCCUAUUAAAUUCAAACUUUUCAAUAUCCUGUGUCUUCUAAGACCUACGCUCUCUGAUUAAUCCACAUUAUGCAUUUAGUGUGUAUUUAAAAUUCUUAUGUUUAAAAUUAGGAAUCUAAUAAUUGAACAAGGACAUGACUGUAUUAAACUGCAUGGGGCAGCAUGAAGAAUCUCUAGUGAAGGGAAGGAGCAUGAUUGCAGAAGAAGAAAGAC